GAUGAACGCUAGCUACAGGCUUAACACAUGCAAGUCGAGGGGUAACAAGAGAAAAGCUUGCUUUUCUUGUUGACGACCGGCGCACGGGUGAGUAACGCGUAUCCAACCUGCCUAUAACUAGGGAAUAACCUUGCGAAAGUAAGACUAAUACCCUAUGAUUUCCUUUGAUGGCAUCAGAUUAGGAAUAAAGAUUUAUCGGUCAUAGAUGGGGAUGCGUCUGAUUAGCUUGUUGGCGGGGUAACGGCCCACCAAGGCAACGAUCAGUAGGGGUUCUGGGAGGAAGGUCCCCCACAUUGGAACUGAGACACGGUCCAAACUCCUACGGGAGGCAGCAGUGAGGAAUAUUGGUCAAUGGGCGGAAGCCUGAACCAGCCAAGUAGCGUGCAGGAUGACGGCCCUAUGGGUUGUAAACUGCUUUUAUACAGGAAUAAAGUUAGCCACGUGUGGUUAUUUGUAGGUACUGUAUGAAUAAGGACCGGCUAAUUCCGUGCCAGCAGCCGCAGUAA
rnacentral:rRNA from 1 species